rnacentral:rRNA from 1 species
AGCGAACAGAUAAGGAGCUUGCUCCUUUGACGUUAGCGGCGGACGGGUGAGUAACACGUGGGUAACCUACCUAUAAGACUGGAAUAACUCCGGGAAACCGGGGCUAAUGCCGGAUAACAUGUUGAACCGCAUGGUUCUACAGUGAAAGACGGUCUUGCUGUCACUUAUAGAUGGACCCGCGCCGUAUUAGCUAGUUGGUGGGGUAACGGCCUACCAAGGCGACGAUACGUAGCCGACCUGAGAGGGUGAUCGGCCACACUGGAACUGAGACACGGUCCAGACUCCUACGGGAGGCAGCAGUAGGGAAUCUUCCGCAAUGGGCGAAAGCCUGACGGAGCAACGCCGCGUGAGUGAUGAAGGUCUUCGGAUCGUAAAGCUCUGUUGUUAGGGAAGAACAAAUGUGUAAGUAACUGUGCACAUCUUGACGGUACCUAACCAGAAAGCCACGGCUAACUACGUGCCAGCAGCCGCGGUAAUACGUAGGUGGCAAGCGUUAUCCGGAAUUAUUGGGCGUAAAGCG